rnacentral:lncRNA from 1 species
CAAUUCAGUAGCUCCUCUUGCUUAGCAGAAGCCUCUUUUGUUCUGCAAUCCUUUUCUGCUCUCUCUCUCUCUCCUCUUAUGUAAUAUUCUCAAGGUUCUAUCAAACUGGUGUAUAUUUGUAAAGAUUUAUCUCUGGUGUGGAUUAUCUUUGUAAAGGUUAUCUCUGCAUCUGGUAACUCUUUCCACUUUUCUUCUUUAUGUAUGAGUGUAACUUCAGUUCCUUUCCGAGUUACCAUCCUCAGGAAUGGAGACUGUUUGCAAGCUAUUGUAUAUGUAAACAGUAAGUAUUGUUAAUAAGAAUUUUUGCUUUGCUGUAUCUUACCUGUUUUAAGCCCUGUUGUAUAUUAUGCAAUGCAAAUUGAUAUUUAGUCUUAAGAUUAGAAAUAUUGUUUAAACUUCGUGGAUCAUAUUAGAUAUAUCAUUAAUCUCUGCUAUUAUUAUUAUAAUUACCUUUUUAUACUAUAUUGAAUUCUUAAAUAGAUUAGUAAGUUAUAGUGUUCCUUUUCUUAUGUUACUUUAAAAAUAGUGUUUUUUAAUUGUCAAAGAUCUUGGUGUCGUUUGGUAUCAGAGCCAUUUUAGGUUGAUAUUUAUAGAUCAUUAGUGUAUUACAACGCGACUGUAAUAACUUAGGAGUUCAGAAUCUGAGAAAAUUCCUCAUUUUAAGAGUUAGCCCGAGAGUUAAGCUACUUGACGCCCAGGCUAGUGGACCGUCAAGGCCAGGAAGAGCCGCUAAGGUCAGAAGUGCCAUAAGAGGUUGUCUAUACCAUUAUCCGUAACUCUAAAAUGGAAAAUUUUAUAAAAAACUUAGCAAAUAAGUCAUUACCAUCAACUAAUAAUAUACUAAGAGUAAAAAACAAAGAAGAAGUUAUUAUGGAAAAUAUAGAACGAUAGGUUCAAAAUUGGAAUAUUCCUAAGGUCCCAAUAACCGAUGUGUAUAAAAAAAGAAAAUUUGAAUUAAAAACAGGGUAUGCAAUAAAAACAGUAGAGCAGAGUUUAUCUGUCCAUAGUACUCAAGAAAAUUUUCAAUUACUAUCAAAUAAAAUUUUACAAACUCACAAGAAUAAAAAUUACAACUACUUGCAUAUAGGAUUAAUACAAGUAGCUAUAAAACCACUUACUAGACUAGGUCUUAAUAAUUCUGUUUUGUUAUGUUUGAGAGACGAUAGGCAUAAUAAGUUUUCAGAUUCUCUUUUAGGUAUUAUAGAAUCUAACCUUUGUAAUGGUCCAAUAUAUUUUGAUUGCUUUCCUAAUUAUUCAGUAUCUUUAAGUGACCCAAACAUAUUAAAAGUAUUAACUAUUAACCUUAAAACUCAAUGAUUUGAUAUGGAUCCAGGAUCCCAAAAUAUAGCCUUAAUUUAUAGAAUUUGCUAUAAAGUUAUGACCACAUUAUGUCCUAAAGUAGUCCCAAUAGACACGAAAGGACAUACAACUUUCUUUGAGACUAAUCUAGAUAAAUCUAAUACAAUAGUGCCUUAAACAAUAAAUUGGUCUCAGAUUGAACUCCCAAAAGAUUGGAUUAUACAAAUUGAAAAUCAUGUAAAUAAAAUUCCUAUCAAUAAAAUCCCAGAUCAAAUAAUAGAACACCCAAGUGGUGAAGUAGAAAUACCAUUUAAAAAUAAUAUAAAAACUAAAAUUAAUAUUAAAGAUGAUAUUAUAAUAAAACCCCCUAAAAGAACAAUAUCUCCUAGAAGAUCAGGCUCGGUAAUCUCUUCAGAACCUGAAAUUCAAGGAUUAUAUAGAACUCAAAAUAAUAUACAAAAACCAGAAUAUAGAAAGAUAGAAUCCAGUACUUCUAGUGAUGAAAAUAUUUAUCAAGAUAUAGAUCUUCAAAUACUAACCAUACAAAAGGAGAAAAAAGUAAACAUAGAAUAUAUAAAAAAUGACUACUUAUCCGAUAAAAAUGCAAAUAUCAGAAAUUGGUAUUUAACGGCCUAUCCCCAAAAAUUAAUAGCUAUGAUACAUAAAAGGUAUAGCAAAUUUUUGAAAACAGAAAAAAUUACGAUAGGUUUCUUUGAGUGGUUAAAACAAAUUCUUAUAAAUAAAGGAGUAUCAAUUCCAAACUUUGAUAAUGAAAUAAAUAAGAUAAAUAUUCUUGAAAAACAAUAUCAAACCUUUAAUUAAUUAGAAGGAGAAAUUAUUCAAAGUAUACAUCCUCCUGAAAAAAGUCUAUAUAUUAAAGGAUCUUCAAAAGACAAAUCAGACAUCAAAAUACUAAAUGAGACUAGAGCUGCCCCUUAUAAGAUAGCUAUAAGUGAUCAAAAAAUAGACUUACUACCACAUAUUAUAGAACAAAAUAAUUAUACAAAUUUAUAUCUAACAACCUUGGGAAAACAAACCACUAGAAUAGAAAAUCUAAUCAGACAACUCCAAGAAAAAUUGAAGAGAAAAAGAAAGCAGUAUUAUUUAAACCUCCUCCUCAAAUAAACAAAGAUAGGUUUACUGUAAAAAAUAUUACUGAAGAAAAUAUAGAACUUAUACAACAAUUAGUUAAUAAACUAUCACAGUUAAAAAUAACAGACAAAGGUAAAGGAAAAAUUCAAGAAGUACCUUCAUCUGUACCUUCGCCUGUACCAAGUAAAUCUUCAGGAAUUAGAAUAGUUGAGUCAAGAGCAAUGAUGCUUCAAGAUUAAGCAAGCCUCUCAAGAAUUAGAAAUAAAUAGAAUUGAUUAUGGGAAAAAAUGGAGACCUACUUCUCUCCAAAGAAUGUAUCAUCAUAGACCUACUCCAGUUGAUAUCCAAUUUGAAAAAGACCUAAUAUCUCAUACAGUAUCUUAUUUAGGAAGGACUAUUGUAAAUUGGAACAUAGAUAGAAUGUCUGAUCAUUAGAUUUUAAAUAAUAUGAAACACUUGACUAUGUAUGCUACAACCUGUAAAGUAGCUGGUAGUCAUGACCAAGAUUUAGCAAAAGCUAUAGUCUGUGGAUUUACUGGAUGGCUUAGAGGUUGGUGGGAUUUCCACAUGAAUGAUCUCACUAAAAAUCAAAUUAUUAAUGCAACAAAACAAUGGGUAGUUAAGAAUGAACACAAUCAAGAUAUCCCUCACAGCGAAAGUGACGUUGUUAAUAUAUUGAUAUAUACGAUCACUCUCCACUUUGUGGGAAGCACAGUAUUAUUAGAAGCACGAUCAGUAUAUAUAUAUAUAUAUAUAUAUAGUAGACGAAAUAGUAAUAGUGUAUUUCGUCCUACUCCUACUACUCCUACCGUACUUAACUUACUACGUCCGUCCGGUACGACGUAUUAUACGUAAGUAGUCGUUACUUUUUUACGUUUUNNNNNNNNNNNNNNNNNNNNGACUAUGUAUGCUACAACCUGUAAAGUAGACUGGUAGUCAUGACCAAGAUUUAGCAAAAGCUAUAGUCUGUGGAUUUACUGGAUGGCUUAGAGGUUGGUGGGAUUUCCACAUGAAUGAUCUCACUAAAAAUCAAAUUAUUAAUGCAACAAAACAAUGGGUAGUUAAGAAUGAACACAAUCAAGAUAUCCCUCACAGCGAAAGUGACGUUGUUAAUAUAUUGAUAUAUACGAUCACUCUCCACUUUGUGGGAAGCACAGUAUUAUUAGAAGCACGAUCAGUAUAUAUAUAUAUAUAUAUAUAUAUAGGCGAAAAUGAAUAGUGAUUUUGCCUAUCCUCAUCACCGUCUAAAUUUCAUCGUCCGGUCACGAUUAUCUAAGAGUGCUUUAUUUUUUCGUUUUUUUCUACAAAUGUUAAUGACCUGAAAUUUGGAAGGUAUGUAGAUGCUACUGAGGCGCAUCUAAUAAAAAUAUAAAAAAAAUUAUCCGUAAAAAUUAAAUUGACCAAAAUACGCCUGAAAGUUUUUGGUGGUAUUUUGGUCAUUUUUCAUGUAAAAUAUUCUUUUUAUAGUUUUCUAAUAUUCCCCUAUUUUUGAUAAAUACACUCUCUAAAUUUCAGGUCAUUCUAAUUUGUAGAAAAAAAUAAAAAAUAAAACACUAUCGGACAAUCAUGACCGCAUGAUGAACUUUGGACAGUGAUGGGGGUGGGCGAAAUCACUGUUCAUUUUCACUUAUAGGAUUUGCAUUGUGUGUUUUCCUAUAUAUAUAUAUAUAUAUGUAUAAUAUUUAAAUCAACAUGACUUUAUUGUGAAACACAGGUACCUAGAACAUCUUUAACAUUCCAGCAAGUUAUCAAACAUAUACACUCAGAACUUCCUUAAAUAACUUAUUUUCUUCCCAACAAAUAUGAACUUCUAAUUUUCAGGGGACUUUUACUUUCCAGUUAUCAAAUAGGCCCAUAAUGUUAGUUAACAUUUAUUACCGUUUGCAAUGUCAUUCGAUUCUUGGUAUACAUGGGUAAGUAAGAUCAUGGCAUAAAUUAACUAUCUCCGCCCAGAUAGAAUAAAAUUUCUAGGGAGGUUUCCACUUUGUUGCACCAAUUUAUACUGUUCUAGUCCCCUUCACAAAAGCCACCACUUGAAAAUUAUCUUUGAUACAUCUCAUGCUUUGUAAUAUACUCCGGAAUUUCGCUUAUUCGAAGUUGCAAUCCAUAAGGACUUGCAUAAAAAAGAAGAAUCACUCCACUCGCGUCUUUAGAACCUCUCCAAAUCUUGCAGGCCUUGGAUUUCCAAGAGAACUACCAUUCAAAUUAAGCUUCAAACGACCUUUUAGAGGUGGGCACCCUCUUCCCUUUGGUCUCAAUUUCUAUGAUUUAUUUAAGGCCAUGUUUUUUAGAUUCAUCCAAAUGUCAAUCUUUAAAAUACCCCUCCCUUCAUCUGAAACUGAGAACCAACUCCAUACUCCCAAAAAAAUAGCCUGCUUUGUCUGUUUUGUCUUUUUCAAACUUCAACUUUUACCUUCAAAAGUUUUGUUGUUUCUCUCCCUCCAAACUUCCCACAAAAUACCUGCUCGGAAAAUAACCCAAAUUGUACGUCCACAUUUAGGUAACCCUGGAGUGUCCAUUUGAAGCAGUAAUUCCCCAUAGCCCUUGGGAAACACCACAUUAAUGCCCAACUUACCUAAAACCCACCGCCAAAUAUCUCAGGUAAAGAAACAAUGCAAAAAGAGGUGCUAGACAGUUUCCCCAACCUUCUUCGAGUCUAUUGCUACUCUAGGAGUGUGAGUUUCUUCUUUUUUUUCUUUUUUUUUACCAUCAUAUAUCCAUAUUAUUGCACAACAUUUAUAAAUACCCACAUAUACCUACUCUCCUUACUAUUUUAUGUAAUUUCUGGAAAUUCCUAAGUAACAAAUGUAUUGAGAACAUUUAUGAAUACCCAUAUUAUUCAAGUCGAGUCUGGCUCAACCUGGACCCAAAUAGUAUUUGGGUCCAGGUUUUGGAUGCAAACAUAACCUUUCGGGCCCAAAAUUUGGACCUAUACCCAUACCCGAGGUCAGAUCUACCUGUUGGGUCCUGGAUCCAUUGCCACCCCUAAUUGAUAGGAGGAAACCUACCCCAAAAAAACGAAAUGAUUAGUAAUUAACUAUCAGAUAAAAAAAAAAAGAUUAGUACUAAAAAUAGGGAUAAAAGUAUGAUACCACUACACCAAAGAUUGUUUCUUUUUUUUGACAAUAAUAAAGGAUUGAUAUUACAUAAAUGAUCCAAAGGGAUACCAAUUAGCCCAUAGCUAACAGCUCAAGACAUGCUAAUACUAAUGGAAUUUAAAAGAACAACGAACGUCAGAACAGAAGCUUGUAUAAAUGCCAAGAGAAGAGAUUAACUACGUAAUAGCUCAAACGAGUAUGGUGCAUGGUAAUCCAUAGGUCAUCAGAGGACACAUUUGGAGUGGUGUAGAAUGGUCCAACAAUCUCUUGGGUGAUGUUAUAAAUUUCCAUCAACCAUUAUAUGAUUUGUGUAACUAAAUUGGGAUGCAGUUUCUUUAAAACGUAGGCUUUAUAGAAACAAAGUAGGGCCUCACCUCGAAUCCUCGUCCGGAAAAUAUUUUGCGCAUCGGAAAUCUUCAAUGAUGGCUUUAAAAUCAAUUUUCAGUACCAAUUAUGAAAUUUGAAGCUUAAAAAAUUGUACAAAUUUUGAGUUCGAGCCUCUCUCACCCCAACUCGACAACCUCUUUAUUUAUCAAAAAAAAUUGUACAAAUUUUAUGAAUCCUUGAACGCUUAUUUUUAGGGUGAAAUAGAUGAUCUAUAUAAUGUGUUACAAUAUAUACUAUUUAUAAUGAGUUUGAAGAUGAGGCUUCACUUGUUUUGACAGGGCUACAACAAAGGCUACCAUCGGACGGGGCUUGGAGCCGACCCGGCCCGAGGGUCGGUAAAGCCGAAACAACUAUGGACCAGUGGGAGUGUAGUCUCUCGUGGGUUUAUGUGGCUUUUAAAGGCCUUAUGAAUGCUUGUAAAAUGAAAUGAUAUAGUGGAACAUAAACUCCGUGGGAGUGUGGUCCCUCGUGGACCAUACUAAACAAACGAUGGUUUGCUAAUACCGAUCUAGGCCAGUCGGUUGGGAAAAACCCAUGUUACCUGGGCAUGAAGAACAAACCGGUGAGGGUUUAUGGGUUAGCUCUUGAUGACGUCAGAUAACAUGCCNN